rnacentral:rRNA from 1 species
GACGAACGCUGGCGGCGUGCUUAACACAUGCCAGUCGAACGGAAAGGCCCUGCUUUUGUGGGGUGCUCGAGUGGCGAACGGGUGAGUAACACGUGAGUAACCUGCCCUUGACUUUGGGAUAACUUCAGGAAACUGGGGCUAAUACCGGAUAGGAGCUCCUGCUGCAUGGUGGGGGUUGGAAAGUUUCGGCGGUUGGGGAUGGACUCGCGGCUUAUCGGCUUGUUGGUGGGGUAGUGGCUUACCAAGGCUUUGACGGGUAGCCGGCCUGAGAGGGUGACCGGCCACAUGAGGAAUGAGAGAGGGCCCAGACUCCUACGGGAGGCAGCAGGGGGGAAUAUUGCACAAUGGGCGGAAGCCUGAGGCAGCAACGCCGCGUGCGGGAUGACGGCCUUCGGGUUGUAAACCGCUUUGGCCUGUGACGAAGCGUGAGUGACGGUAAUGGGUAAAGAAGCACCGGCUAACUACGUG